UGGCGGCACUAGCGCGGUGGUCCCACCUGACCCCAUGCCGAACUCAGAAGUGAAACGCCGUAGCGCCGAUGGUAGUGUGGGGUCUCCCCAUGUGAGAGUAGGGAAUCGCC
rnacentral:rRNA from 2 species